rnacentral:lncRNA from 1 species
AUGUGCUUGGAGCAACAUCCACAUCCAGCAGUUAACAUCUGUCCUAGCUGUUGGUGCUACAGGGAUGGGAGGAUAACUCAAGGGGCUGCCUGUAAGCUUGGCACUGGGCAGGACUCCUGCUGCCUGCUGCCUGUCCCCAGCCGCCACCCCAGGCAGCACAGUCCUGCUCCAGAGUGCUUCAGCUUCCUUCAGUGCUGGGUGACUAUUUGUGCCCUCAGAGUUGCACGGACAUGUAAUGAGAAAACAGUGAAGCCACAGAGGCCAUGAGAGGAGAAGGAAUACAUCAGGACCUGUGGUUUUAUAACAUGAGAGAAGGUGGGUGAAUGAAAGUGCUGUCAGGUGAAGAGGAACAAGAGGAGGGGAAAAGAAAGUGAUGAUGAAGAAGUAGUUACAGUAACACAAAGGGGAGUGGCUGAAAUGAUCAUGCAAGAAAGUGGAAACCGGACACAAAGCCAGAGGAGAGAAUGGACAGGGAAAUUUGGCAAUCCUUCCAUCCUCUGCUGUGACUGCCAAGAUUGUCUGACCACAUGAAUACAAAACUAUAGUCUACAAAGUUAUGAAUUUGAUGUGCUGAAAAACUAGAGUAGAAAAUUGUUCUGUGUAGAGUGAUGAUUGUGAUGAACCCCAUUAAAAGCUGUUCUGUUUAUAAUGGAUAUGUCUUCAGAAUAAUAGAACAGGUUUAUUAGAUCAAGUUAUAUGCUGUCCAUUUUUUGUUAGUGAUAAAAGUUUUUAAGGAUUUCCUGUCUUUUUAGUAUUUCCCUGUGACUUCUCAUAAAAUUCUUGCUACUGUGCUAAUGGAAUUAAUAUAGGCAUUUUGAAAUAGGUAUGUUCCAUCUUCUGUAUAGCAAACAGUAGCAGGAUCUAAUACUGGUGAACAAAUACAGAAAACAGGCCAUUCUCGGAUUUCUUAACUUGUAACUAGAUAAAUCUUUUCCAUGUAAACAAAUUCUGUAGAAGAAAGAUUUCAUGCUAUCUCUGUGUAAGACUCAGCAUCUGACAGGUGUGCUGGUUUUGGCUGGGACUGAGUUAUUUAUCUCUAUGGCAGCUGGUAUGGGGCUGUGUUUAGGAUUUAUGGUGGGAAUGGUAUUGAUAACACAGGGAUGAUUCACCUGUAACUGAGCAGAGCUUGCACAGAGACAAGGCCUUUUCUGGUUCUCACACCUUCCCCCCACCCCCCACCCCAUCAGCAAGGAGUCUAGGAGUGCACAAGGAGCUGGGAGGGAAAACAUCAGGGACAGCUGACCUUGAUGACCAAAGAGAUACCCCC